AUUGAACGCUGGCGGCAGGCUUAACACAUGCAAGUCGAGCGGAGAUGAGGUGCUUGCACCUUAUCUUAGCGGCGGACGGGUGAGUAAUGCUUAGGAAUCUGCCUAUUAGUGGGGGACAACAUUCCGAAAGGAAUGCUAAUACCGCAUACGUCCUACGGGAGAAAGCAGGGGAUCUUCGGACCUUGCGCUAAUAGAUGAGCCUAAGUCGGAUUAGCUAGUUGGUGGGGUAAAGGCCUACCAAGGCGACGAUCUGUAGCGGGUCUGAGAGGAUGGUCCGCCACACUGGGACUGAGACACGGCCCAGACUCCUACGGGAGGCAGCAGUGGGGAAUAUUGGACAAUGGGGGGAACCCUGAUCCAGCCAUGCCGCGUGUGUGAAGAAGGCCUUAUGGUUGUAAAGCACUUUAAGCGAGGAGGAGGCUCUUAAGGUUAAUACCCUUGAUGAGUGGACGUUACUCGCAGAAUAAGCACCGGCUAACUCUGUGCCAGCCGCCGCCGUAAAAC
rnacentral:rRNA from 1 species